UGCUGGAGGUAUCAGAAGUGCGAAUGCUGACAUAAGUAACGAUAAAGCGGGUGAAAAGCCCGCUCGCCGGAAGACCAAGGGUUCCUGUCCAACGUUAAUCGGGGCAGGGUGAGUCGACCCCUAAGGCGAGGCCGAAAGGCGUAGUCGAUGGGAAACAGGUUAAUAUUCCUGUACUUGGUGUUACUGCGAAGGGGGGACGGAGAAGGCUAUGUUAGCCGGGCGACGGUUGUCCCGGUUUAAGCAUGUAGGCGGAGGUUCCAGGUAAAUCCGGUACCUUUUAACGCUGAGGUGUGAUGACGAGGCACUACGGUGCUGAAGUAACAAAUGCCCUGCUUCCAGGAAAAGCCUCUAAGCAUCAGGUAACAUUAAAUCGUACCCCAAACCGACACAGGUGGUCAGGUAGAGAAUACCAAGGCGCUUGAGAGAACUCGGGUGAAGGAACUAGGCAAAAUGGUGCCGUAACUUCGGGAGAAGGCACGCUGGUGUGUAGGUGAAGUCCCUGCGGAUGGAGCUGAGACCAGUCGAAGAUACCAGCUGGCUGCAACUGUUUAUUAAAAACACAGCACUGUGCAAACACGAAAGUGGACGUAUACGGUGUGACGCCUGCCCGGUGCCGGAAGGUUAAUUGAUGGGGUUAUCCGUAAGGAGAAGCUCUUGAUCGAAGCCCCGGUAAACGGCGGCCGUAACUAUAACGGUCCUAAGGUAGCGAAAUUCCUUGUCGGGUAAGUUCCGACCUGCACGAAUGGCGUAAUGAUGGCCAGGCUGUCUCCACCCGAGACUCAGUGAAAUUGAACUCGCUGUGAAGAUGCAGUGUACCCGCGGCAAGACGGAAAGACCCCGUGAACCUUUACUAUAGCUUGACACUGAACAUUGAGCCUUGAUGUGUAGGAUAGGUGGGAGGCUUUGAAGCGUGGACGCCAGUCUGCGUGGAGCCAACCUUGAAAUACCACCCUUUAAUGUUUGAUGUUCUAACGUUGGCCCGUAAUCCGGGUUGCGGACAGUGUCUGGUGGGUAGUUUGACUGGGGCGGUCUCCUCCCAAAGAGUAACGGAGGAGCACGAAGGUUAGCUAAUCCUGGUCGGACAUCAGGAGGUUAGUGCAAUGGCAUAAGCUAGCUUGACUGCGAGCGUGACGGCGCGAGCAGGUGCGAAAGCAGGUCAUAGUGAUCCGGUGGUUCUGAAUGGAAGGGCCAUCGCUCAACGGAUAAAAGGUACUCCGGGGAUAACAGGCUGAUACCGCCCAAGAGUUCAUAUCGACGGCGGUGUUUGGCACCUCGAUGUCGGCUCAUCACAUCCUGGGGCUGAAGUAGGUCCCAAGGGUAUGGCUGUUCGCCAUUUAAAGUGGUACGCGAGCUGGGUUUAGAACGUCGUGAGACAGUUCGGUCCCUAUCUGCCGUGGGCGCUGGAGAAUUGAGGGGGGCUGCUCCUAGUACGAGAGGACCGGAGUGGACGCAUCACUGGUGUUCGGGUUGUCAUGCCAAUGGCACUGCCCGGUAGCUAAAUGCGGAAGAGAUAAGUGCUGAAAGCAUCUAAGCACGAAACUUGCCCCGAGAUGAGUUCU
rnacentral:rRNA from 1 species